rnacentral:rRNA from 1 species
GUAAACCGCUUUCGCCUGUGACGAAGCGUGAGUGACGGUAAUGGGUAAAGAAGCACCGGCUAACUACGUGCCAGCAGCCGCGGUGAUACGUAGGGUGCGAGCGUUGUCCGGAUUUAUUGGGCGUAAAGGGCUCGUAGGUGGUUGAUCGCGUCGGAAGUGUAAUCUUGGGGCUUAACCCUGAGCGUGCUUUCGAUACGGGUUGACUUGAGGAAGGUAGGGGAGAAUGGAAUUCCUGGUGGAGCGGUGGAAUGCGCAGAUAUCAGGAGGAACACCAGUGGCGAAGGCGGUUCUCUGGGCCUUUCCUGACGCUGAGGAGCGAAAGCGUGGGGAGCGAACAGGCUUAGAUACCCUGGUAGUCCACGCUGUAAACGGUGGGUACUAGGUGUGGGGUCCAUUCCACGGGUUCCGUGCCGUAGCUAACGCUUUAAGUACCCCGCCUGGGGAGUACGGCCGCAAGGCUAAAACUCAAAUGAAUUGACGGAAUCG